UUGUGAUCCAGCCCUGCAAGGCAGCGGGAGAAGGGUAUCUUCUCGCCUUUGUUCCCGGCUCAUACUUUCCCCACCAAUGGGCCUUCAAAAUCUACUGCUGCUACUACGGAGCUAGGCAGUCACUAUCUCAGCUCUAUGAUGUCCGUUCUUCCACUAGAACCUUCCCUGAGCGACUGAGGUCUGCCGAAAGGGCUGCUUAUGAGAGUGCUCUUUUUAAGACAAUUUAAAAAAAGCAGUGGAAUGGAAAGAAAAUGCUUCAGGCGCCCCGGGUUAGGCCCACCGACUCUGUACACAUUCCUGUUAGGUGUCAUAUUCAUCACUCUAAGUUCAAGUCGCAUCUUACUGGUCAAAUACUCUGCCAACGAAGAGAACAAGUAUGACUACCUCCCUACUACUGUGAAUGUGUGCUCAGAGCUGAUGAAGCUGAUUCUCUGUAUACUUGUGUCCCUCUGCAUUGUGAAGAAAGAAGAUCAUCAAAGUAAACAUGUGAGAUGUACUUCCUGGAAGGAAUUCUCCGGUUUCCUGAAGUGGUCCAUUCCUGCCUUCCUGUACUUCCUGGACAACUUGAUUGUCUUCUAUGUCCUAUCCUAUCUUCAGCCUGUAAGUAACAAUGCAGCAGAGGAAAUUCCAUCCAGAAGACACGAAGAAGUGAAUCCCCAGACUGGCCUUCCUUUUGCUCAUUUUUCCACUGGCCUUUCUGACACUUCUCUAGAACCAUCUGAAUACGGAUUUGCCUGUCUGUGCCAAAUCUUCACAUUGCUAGUGAUCUCUGUGCUGGGUUUUUGGUGGGGUGGGGACUUGCUUUCAGGCACAAGGAUUCAGAAGCCAUGGUGAUUUGUGUAAAUGAUCAGUCUCCCUUUAGUUUGAGCUCUCUCCUGACCAUUCAAGACGUCCACUCAGAUUUCCAGUAUGCAGAAAAUAGUACAGCUGAUGGACCUCCCUUUCCCUGUUUUAAUUGUGUAGUUUAUCC
rnacentral:lncRNA from 1 species